UGACGGGGAAAGGGGCGGGGUGAACCACGCCCUCUAGAGACUCAUUACAGAGACGUGAGAAAUCUGGGGAGACAAACAGAAAAAAAUAUGUUCACCAAUGACAAAGGACAUACGAAUGGAUUUUGCUUAUUUAUCUUCCACUUUUUCACUACACAAUCAAAUUAAAAAUGAUUACUGAACCAA